rnacentral:lncRNA from 1 species
AGAUAUAUCAGGUUUCCUUUGUUCCUUGAGGCCCUUUGUGUAGUCUUUUAAUAUAUAUUACCCUAUUAAAAUAUAUACUGUCGGGGUCUCUCCUACAGUUUCUGAAAAAAAAAUCAGAUAUAUUGUCAGGCAACAAUUCCCAAAAGGAGCAACAGCAAUUAACACCAUUCAUAAAUUCCCUUCAAUUGCUAACAAUACUACUACUGGAUAACCAGAGUCACAACAGCAAUUAACAGAAUUCAACAAACAAGCUGUUACAAGGCAUGAUCCUACAAUAAUAAAAAGUAUAUGUGUCCUUUCAGUCAGUAAAUUGCUCUCAUUGCUACGUUUUGUUCCAGCGGUAUCGGAUAAAUGCACGGUGUUCCGCAAUAGCACAAAUGCUACUGCUAGAGAUUUCAGAAAUCGACCGGUACAAGUUUCUUCCCAUUCUUAAAACAGUAUACAUGCUGGCAACACUAAUCCAUUGCUUCAAGUAACACAUCAGAAGGCAAAAAGUUCAGACUGCACACGAAGGAUUCUCCUUGAGUAUUGUGUAGAAAAACCUUAGAAGGCAUUAUUCAACAGCAACAGAAAUUGCCUGAGUUCUUUCCAGUAACACAAACGGAUGAUACUAGGCAACGAAAUUAGGAAGAGGAACAGCAUAGAUUCACACAGCACAAACAAACAAACAGUCAGAAAAAAAAAUCGACCACCAGAAAUGCAUCCGUACUAUUCAUAUAAAUAACCAGAGCCACACAACAGCAAUCUACAACAACGAACUACCACUACGGGAUGCAACCUGAGAGGACGCGAACUUGGUGGCCCUCGGAGGACGGCAUGCUUGGCGAGCUCGCCUGGAAGGGCGAGGAGGGCGGAGGCCUGGACCUCGGGAGAGAAGCGAAAUGCGGAGGACGCCAUUGGAGGCGACGGGAAGGAGACAGAGG